rnacentral:rRNA from 1 species
GACGAACGCUGGCGGCGUGCUUAACACAUGCAAGUCGAACGGAAAGGCCCUGCUUUUGUGGGGUGCUCGAGUGGCGAACGGGUGAGUAACACGUGAGUAACCUGCCCUUGACUUUGGGAUAACUUCAUGAAACUGGGGCUAAUACCGGAUAGGAGCUCCUGCUUCAUGGUGGGGGUUGGAAAGUUUCGGUGGUUGGGGAUGGAAUCGCGGCUUAUCAGCUUGUUGGUGGGGUAGUGGCUUACCAAGGCUUUGACGGGUAGCCGGGCUGAGAGGGUGACCGGCCACAUUGGGACUGAGAUAAGGCACAGACUCCUACGGGAGGCAGCAGUGGGGAAUAGUGCACAAUGGGCGGAAGCCUGAUGCAGCAAAGCAGCGUGGGGGAUGACGGCAUUCGGGUUGUAAACCGAUGUCGCCUGUGACGAAGCGUGAGUGACGGUAAUGGGUAAAGAAGCACCGGCUAACUACGUG